rnacentral:rRNA from 1 species
UACGUAGGGUGCGAGCGUUGUCCGGAAUUAUUGGGCGUAAAGGGCUCGUAGGCGGUUUGUCACGUCGGGAGUGAAAACUCGGGGCUUAACCCCGAGCCUGCUUCCGAUACGGGCUGACUAGAGGUAUGCAGGGGAGAACGGAAUUCCUGGUGUAGCGGUGAAAAUGCGCAGAUAUCAGGAGGAACACCGGUGGCGAAGGCGGUUUCUCUGGGCAUUUACCUGACGCUGAGGAGCGAAAGUGUGGGGAGCGAACAGG